rnacentral:rRNA from 1 species
GGGCCCGCACAAGCGGUGGAGCAUGUGGUUUAAUUCGAUGCAACGCGAAGAACCUUACCUACUCUUGACAUCCAGAGAACUUUUCAGAGAUGAAUUGGUGCCUUCGGGAACUCUGAGACAGGUGCUGCAUGGCUGUCGUCAGCUCGUGUUGUGAAAUGUUGGGUUAAGUCCCGCAACGAGCGCAACCCUUAUCCUUGUUUGCCAGCGAGUAAUGUCGGGAACUCCAGGGAGACUGCCGGUGAUAAACCGGAGGAAGGUGGGGACGACGUCAAGUCAUCAUGGCCCUUACGAGUAGGGCUACACACGUGCUACAAUGGCGCAUACAGAGGGCAGCCAACUUGCGAAAGUGAGCGAAUCCCAAAAAGUGCGUCGUAGUCCGGAUCGGAGUCUGCAACUCGACUCCGUGAAGUCGGAAUCGCUAGUAAUCG